rnacentral:rRNA from 1 species
GGAUGAACGCUGGCGGCGUGCCUAAUACAUGCAAGUCGAGCGAACGGACGAGAAGCUUGCUUCUCUGAUGUUAGCGGCGGACGGGUGAGUAACACGUGGAUAACCUACCUAUAAGACUGGGAUAACUUCGGGAAACCGGAGCUAAUACCGGAUAAUAUUUUGAACCGCAUGGUUCAAAAGUGAAAGACGGUCUUGCUGUCACUUAUAGAUGGAUCCGCGCUGCAUUAGCUAGUUGGUAAGGUAACGGCUUACCAAGGCAACGAUGCAUAGCCGACCUGAGAGGGUGAUCGGCCACACUGGAACUGAGACACGGUCCCGACUCCUACGGGAGGCAGCAGUAGGGAAUCUUCCGCAAUGGGCGAAAGCCUGACGGAGCAACGCCGCGUGAGUGAUGAAGGUCUUCGGAUCGUAAAACUCUGUUAUUAGGGAAGAACAUAUGUGUAAGUAACUGUGCACAUCUUGACGGUACCUAAUCAGAAAGCCACGGCUAACUACGUG